GGGCGUCGAGCGGCGGACGGGUGAGUAACGCGUAGGAAUCUACCCAGUAGCGGGGGAUAGCCCGGGGAAACCCGGAUUAAUACCGCAUACGCUCUUUUCUGUGACAGGGAAAGAGGAAAGCGUGGGACCUUUUCGAAGGCCUCUNUUUNUUGGAGGAGCCUGNGUUGGAUUACCUAGUUGGUAGGGUAAAGGCCUACCAAGGCGACGAUCCAUAGCUGCCCCCGAGAGGAAGAUCANCCCCCCUGGGACUGANACACNGCCCANACUCCUACGGGAGGCACA
rnacentral:rRNA from 1 species